GGUGAUCAGUUUUCCCCUCAUGAAGGGUUCUGUUAUGCCCAGACCGUUUAUUCCCCGAAGAAGACCACCAGAGUCCAGAGUCAAAGCUAAGCAGCAAGGAUCUUUAUUACAGGUUCGAACCUGGAACUCUCCCUCGCUCGCGAAACGAGACGGGCGGGAGAGCUCCCCCACUGAGCUCCGAACAAUGUUAUAUAGUCUAAGGAAAGUAGGCAUAGAAUCAUUAUACAAAUUAGAGGUAUGAUUGGCUGGAGUUUGAACAAAGCGAUUUGGCAAACUAUGAUUGGUUCCCGCCAUUUCUGAUAUUUCAGUACAACCCUUGAGGUGGGAGAGCAGGUUUAUGGCAGCAAGAGUUUAUCUUACUUAAACACGUCUUGUGACCUUUACAAAAUCUCUGGUACGUGCAGAAAGACAGGUACUCACAGAACUUACGAAAUCUCUGGUAUGUGCAAAGAUUAGAAAGUAGAACAAAGAGUUUAGCAACAUCGGGGGGGGGAAGGGAGGGUACGCAUUUUGUGUCUUUGUGUCCUUUCAAAACACCUCUGAAAUGU